rnacentral:rRNA from 1 species
GAGUUUGAUCUUGGCUCAGGAUGAACGCUGGCGGCGUGCUUAACACAUGCAAGUCGAACGAAGCACUCAGGAGCGAUUUCGGUCAAUCCUGUUUGACUGAGUGGCGGACGGGUGAGUAACGCGUGAGUAACCUACCUCGCAGUGGGGAAUAACAGUUGGAAACGACUGCUAAUACCGCAUAAUGCAGAGAGACCGCAUGAUCUUUCUGCCAAAGAUUUAUCGCUGUGAGAUGGACUCGCGUCUGAUUAGCUAGUUGGUGAGGUAACGGCUCACCAAGGCGACGAUC